UUGCGCCUGAGUCGAUAUGAAGUUGAGCUGAAGCUAACACUACCCAGGCAUCCUCCAGUUCAACUUCAUAUCGACUCAGGCGCUA